rnacentral:rRNA from 1 species
CACGUAGGGCGCAAGCGUUGUCCGGAAUUAUUGGGCGUAAAGAGCUCGUAGGCGGUCUGUUACGUCUGCUGUGAAAACCCGGGGCUUAACCCUGGGCUUGCAGUGGAUACGGGCAGACUAGAGGCAGGUAGGGGAGAAUGGAAUUCCCGGUGUAGCGGUGAAAUGCGUAGAUAUCGGAAGGAACACCAGUGGCGAAAGCGGCUUCCUGGUCCAGCACCGACGUUCAGGCACGAAAGCGUGGGGAGCGAACAGG